CUAAUACCGGAUACGACCACUUCAGGCAUCUGAUGGUGGUGGAAAGUUCCGGCGGUGGAGGAUGAGCUCGCGGCCUAUCAGCUUGUUGGUGGGGUAACGGCCCACCAAGGCUUCGACGGGUAGCCGGCCUGAGAGGGUGACCGGCCACACUGGGACUGAGACACGGCCCAGACUCCUACGGGAGGCAGCAGUGGGGAAUAUUGGACAAUGGGCGAAAGCCUGAUCCAGCAACGCCGCGUGAGGGAUGACGGCCUUCGGGUUGUAAACCUCUUUCAGCGCAGACGAAGCGAAAGUGACGGUAUGCGCAGAAGAAGCACCGGCCAACUACGUGCCAGCAGCCGCGGUAAUACGUAGGGUGCGAGCGUUGUCCGGAAUUAUUGGGCGUAAAGGGCUCGUAGGCGGUUGGUCACGUCAGGAGUGAAAACUCGGGGCUCAACCCCGAGCCUGCUUCUGAUACGGGCCGACUAGAGGUAUGCAGGGGAGAACGGAAUUCCUGGUGUAGCGGUGAAAUGCGCAGAUAUCAGGAGGAACACCGGUGGCGAAGGCGGUUCUCUGGGCAUUACCUGACGCUGAGGAGCGAAAGUGUGGGGAGCGAACA
rnacentral:rRNA from 1 species